AACGCACAUUGCGCCCCUUGGUAUUCCGAAGGGCAUGCCUGUUCGAGCGUCAUUAUAACCACUCAAGCUUGGCUUGGUAUUGGGGUUCGCGGUUCCGCGGCCUUUAAAAUCAGUGGCGGUGCCGUCUGGCUCUAAGCGUAGUAAUCCUCUCGCUAUAGGGUCCGGCGGUCGCUUGCCAGAACCUCCCAUUUCUACGGUUGACCUCGGAUCAGGUAGGGAUACCCGCUGAACUUAA
rnacentral:misc_RNA from 1 species